rnacentral:rRNA from 1 species
UACGUAGGGAGCAAGCGUUGUCCGGAAUCAUUGGGCGUAAAGCGCGCGUAGGCGGCCUCGUAAGUCCGUUGUGAAAGUCAAAGGCUCAACCUUUGAAAGCCGAUGGAUACUGUGAGGCUAGAGUCCGGAAGAGGCGAGUGGAAUUCCAGGUGUAGCGGUGGAAUGCGCAGAUAUCAGGAGGAACACCAAUAGCGAAGGCAGCUCGCUGGGACGGUACUGACGCUAAGGCGCGAAAGCGUGGGGAGCGAACAGG